rnacentral:rRNA from 1 species
UACGUAGGGGGCUAGCAUUGUCCGGAAUCAUUGGGCGUAAAGAGCGUGUAGGCGGUCCGGUAAGUCCGCUGUGAAAGUCGGGGGCUCAACCCUCGAAUGCCGGUGGAUACUGUCGGGCUUGAGUACGGAAGAGGCGAGUGGAAUUCCUGGUGUAGCGGUGAAAUGCGCAGAUAUCAGGAGGAACACCAAUUGCGAAGGCAGCUCGCUGGGACGUUACUGACGCUGAGACGCGAAAGCGUGGGGAGCAAACAGG